GUCCCAGGCUCUGAGAACUGGUUUUGAUGGACUAGUUUCCUUUCAGUUUUUUCAGUCCAUAAUAUCCAGUUCUCUAGCUUGGCUGCA
rnacentral:pre_miRNA from 1 species